rnacentral:sRNA from 1 species
GAUAAAAAGAGACCGAACACGAUUCCUGUAUUCGGUCCAGGGAAAUGGCUCUUGGGAGAGAGCCGUGCGCUAAAAGUUGGCAUUAAUGCAGGCUUAGUUGCCUUGCCUUUUAAGAAUAGAUGACGACGCCAGGUUUUCCAGU